rnacentral:rRNA from 1 species
AAUCAACGCUGGCGGCGUGCCUAACACAUGCAAGUCGAACGCGAAAGCCCCGCAAGGGGUAAGUAGAGUGGCAAACGGGUGAGUAACACGUGGGUGACCUGCCUUCGAGUGGGGGAUAACGUCCCGAAAGGGACGCUAAUACCGCAUGACAUCCUGCUUUUGAAAAAGCGGAGAUCAAAGCUGGGGAUCGCAAGACCUAGCGCUUGAAGAGGGGCCCGCGCCUGAUUAGCUAGUUGGUGAGGUAACGGCUCACCAAGGCGACGAUCAGUAUCCGGCCUGAGAGGGCGGACGGACCCACUGGGACUGAGACACGGCCCAGACUCCUACGGGAGGCAGCAGUGGGGAAUUGUUCGCAAUGGGCGCAAGCCUGACGACGCAACGCCGCGUGGAGGACGAAGAUCUUCGGGUCGUAAACUCCUGUCGAGCGGGACGAACGCUUCGCGGAUGAAUAAUCCGCGGAAUUGACGGUACCGCUAAAGGAAGCCCCGGCUAACUCCGUG